UACGAUGAAUAAUGAAUGAGUGACUUAAUAAAAUAUGUAUUCUGUUGUUGUUACCUGAUGUCCCAACUGUAUUGCAUGGUACCAAUUAUUAUUGCUUUUCCAUAGUAAACUGUACGAGACAUAUAUUCUGAAUGUUUGUGUAUGAUACGGAUUGCUAUUGAGUUAUCAAGUGUGUUUUCCAAGAUGCUGCUGUGGCUGUGUUAUGUUUGUACAUUGGUACUUCUGCGUACGCGUAACGCAGCGUCUGCUUCUGUUCGGCAGUCAUCAUUUUGUGUUGGUAAAACUUGGUAUGUGCUUUUAGAAUAUUGGAAGCGAGAGGUGUCAUGUAUCAGUUGUACGAGUGUUGUGGAGAAAGUGGACUAACUGGCGAAACAUUUGCAAACAUCGUGAGUUCCUUCAUUCAACGAUGUAAACGGCUUCUUACAGUAGAUGACCCGAGUCAUUCAGUUGUUCUGACGAUCAUGUGUGUUUCGCUUCUGACUUUUACUGCAAUCAUGCUCCAUAAACGGCAUGGUCACGAUAACACCUUAAGAACUAGCACAUUGCUUUUUCCACAAUAUGGUGAUAACGGGACCACCAGAAACGUUAAGAUUUCUUAGGAAGAAUGAAAUGUUUGGACUACGUCUAUCAAAACAUAAAAAUGUAAAUGAUGCGAAAUAUUGGUGUAAACAGUGCCUUUGGAGAAGGGAGUUCCGAAAAACUUAAUUACGUUGAAAGUGAAUAGGGGCAGUGUCGUCGCCCGAUUUGCUGAUCUUAAGUUGGAUGAAUACAUGGCUGUGCCCUGUGUACAGUGAAUUUAUUUGCAGCCAAUUCUGAUAACUUUGACAUUCCAAGUUGAUUUCUUGGUUGUAACCGUUGGUACGAAAUUCCCCAAUAAUUCUAACUUGUAUAAGUAUCGUGGGAAUUUAGAUAUUAAAUUGAUGUGACUACUGUAAUCAUCUAAAACAAUGUCUUAGUUAUUACACUUGACAUCAAGAAAUUAAAUUCAAUCAAUGGAGACUGAUCACUGCAAUCCAUCAUAAGUCAGUAUUGCACAUUAGCAGGCCUUUGUCAACGUGUUUGCAGCUGUCUCAGGAAGUCUACCUCAUUUCAGGGUCUCAUUUUGCCCACACAAGUGGCAUAAAGGAUCAGUCUGGGAGUACCCACCAGGAUGGGAGGACUACGUCAGCAUCAUUUCGCAAUAGAAUGGCAUACAGCCACCAAGAAUACCAGCCACCACCAGACCAUCUCAGAGUACUAAGGCCCCCUUCCUGGACUGAACACUGGUGGGCGUCCUUUGGCAUCACACAGCUGCUAACAGAUGCUUGCACUGGAGGGCAGCAACUCAGGCCACGGGUGCUGCAGCUGCACACUACACACCAUCCAUUAGGGUGCCUAGGUGCCACACGCAGCCACCCACAGGGGUGAGAUCCCGCACCGGAGGCUGGCAUCCACUACAAGAGUUCAUGUCUCCUUCUGUCCAAGCUGGUGACUCUUCACACAGACAGCUUUGAAAUGGGAAGUAGAUCGCACAUGCUAUGUCUGCUGUUCCUAGAAUUAGCAGUUUUGGGUGCAUUGAUGCGGCCAAGGGGAGGCCGACAACAGAACUGUGGACCAUCCUAGCCACACUUGAAAGGAGCAUGCUCACCAAACUGUGAUGCUAAAAUUGUAAUCCCACGAGUUAUAAUAAAAUGUUUAAAUCUU